rnacentral:rRNA from 1 species
UACAGAGGGUGCGAGCGUUGUUCGGAAUUAUUGGGCGUAAAGGGCGCGUAGGCGGUGCGGUAAGUCACCUGUGAAAUCUCCUGGCUCAACUGGGAGCUUGCAGGCGAAACUGCCGUGCUGGAGUGUGGGAGAGGUGCGUGGAAUUCCUGGUGUAGCGGUGAAAUGCGUAGAUAUCAGGAGGAACACCUGUGGCGAAGGCGGCCGCCUGGGCCUGGCCUGACGCUGAGGCGCGAAAGCGUGGGGAGCGAUCCGG